AUUUCACGAUUUUUAACCCCAUCUUAGUCCUUAUUACAGUUGGUUACAUUUAUGAGACCUUAGUAGAGUAGGGGGUACCUAUUGUUACGUCAUAUAUUUUACUCAUACAAUUUUAUGUCCAUUUAAAUUAC